UACGGGGGGGGGCAAGCGUUGUUCGGAAUUACUGGGCGUAAAGGGUUCGUAGGUGGCCAACUAAGUCAGACGUGAAAUCCCUCAGCUCAACUGGGGAACUGCGUCUGAUACUGAUUGGCUUGAGUGCAGGAGAGGAGCGCGGAAUUCCAGGUGUAGCGGUGAAAUGCGUAGAUAUCUGGAGGAACACCGGUGGCGAAGGCGGCGUUCUGGACUGCAACUGACACUGAGGAACGAAAGCCAGGGGAGCAAACGGG
rnacentral:rRNA from 1 species